rnacentral:rRNA from 1 species
GAUGAACGCUGGCGGCGUGCCUAAUACAUGCAAGUCGAGCGAACAGACGAGGAGCUUGCUCCUCUGACGUUAGCGGCGGACGGGUGAGUAACACGUGGAUAACCUACCUAUAAGACUGGGAUAACUUCGGCAAACCGGAGCUAAUACCGGAUAAUAUAUUGAACCGCAUGGUUCAAUAGUGAAAGACGGUUUUGCUGUCACUUAUAGAUGGAUCCGCGCCGCAUUAGCUAGUUGGUAAGGUAACGGCUUACCAAGGCGACGAUGCGUAGCCGACCUGAGAGGGUGAUCGGCCACACUGGAACUGAGACACGGUCCAGACUCCUACGGGAGGCAGCAGUAGGGAAUCUUCCGCAAUGGGCGAAAGCCUGACGGAGCAACGCCGCGUGAGUGAUGAAGGUCUUCGGAUCGUAAAACUCUGUUAUUAGGGAAGAACAAAUGUGUAAGUAACUAUGCACGUCUUGACGGUACCUAAUCAGAAAGCCACGGCUAACUACGUG